rnacentral:rRNA from 1 species
AUGAACCCGCAAGGCCUUGACAGACUCAAUGGUGCUCAUGUCGUUCUCAUCCCGAAAGUGGACGGAGCCGCCACGAUGUCAGACUUCCGUCCGAUCAGUCUGCUCCAUAGUGUUGCCAUGCUUUUUCUCAAGGUCCUAGCAACACGGCAUGCUAAGCGCCUCCCUGAACAUGUAUCUCCUGGGCAGAGUGCCUUCAUCAAAGGAUGCAGCAUCCAGGACAAGUUCCUUUUUGUCCAAGACUUGGCAAGA